rnacentral:rRNA from 1 species
CUUGGAAUCUUGCGCAAUGGGCGAAAGCCUGACGCAGCGACACCGCGUGAGGGAUGAAGGCUCUAGAGUUGUAAACCUCUUUCAGGAGGGACGAAGCGAAAGUGACGGUACCUCCAGAAGAAGCCCCGGCCAACUACGUGCCAGCAGCCGCGGUAAUACGUAGGGGGCGAGCGUUGUCCGGAUUUAUUGGGCGUAAAGAGCGCGUAGGUGGUUCAUCAAGUCGGGUGUGAAAGUCCAGGGCUCAACUCUGGAAGGCCAUUCGAAACUGAUGAACUCGAGCAUGGUAGGGGGAUCUGGAAUUUCUGGUGUAGCGGUGAAAUGCGCAGAUAUCAGGAGGAACACCGGUGGCGAAGGCGGGAUCCUGGGCCAUUGCUGACACUGAGGCGCGAAAGCUAGGGGAGCGAACAGG